UUCUCCUGCCGGCGAGUGGCGAACGGGUGAGUAAUACAUCGGAACGUGCCCUGUAKUGGGGGAUAACUAGUCGAAAGAUUAGCUAAUACCGCAUACGACCUGAGGGUGAAAGUGGGGGACCGCAAGGCCUCAUGCUAUAGGAGCGGCCGAUGUCUGAUUAGCUAGUUGGUGGGGUAAAGGCCCACCAAGGCGACGAUCAGUAGCUGGUCUGAGAGGACGAUCAGCCACACUGGGACUGAGACACGGCCCAGACUCCUACGGGAGGCAGCAGUGGGGAAUUUUGGACAAUGGGCGAAAGCCUGAUCCAGCAAUGCCGCGUGUGUGAAGAAGGCCUUCGGGUUGUAAAGCACUUUUGUCCGGAAAGAAAUGGCUCUGGUUAAUACCUGGGGUCGAUGACGGUACCGGAAGAAUAAGGACCGGCUAACUACGUGCCAGCAGCCGCGGUAAUACGUAGGGUCCAAGCGUUAAUCGGAAUUACUGGGCGUAAAGCGUGCGCAGGCGGUUGUGCAAGACCGAUGUGAAAUCCCCGAGCUUAACUUGGGAAUUGCAUUGGUGACUGCACGGCUAGAGUGUGUCAGAGGGGGGUAGAAUUCCACGUGUAGCAGUGAAAUGCGUAGAGAUGUGGAGGAAUACCGAUGGCGAAGGCAGCCCCCUGGGAUAACACUGACGCUCAUGCACGAAAGCGUGGGGAGCAAACAGGAUUAGAUACCCUGGUAGUCCACGCCCUAAACGAUGUCAACUAGUUGUUGGGGAUUCAUUUCCUUAGUAACGUAGCUAACGCGUGAAGUUGACCGCCUGGGGAGUACGGUCGCAAGAUUAAAACUCAAGGAAUUGACGGGGACCCGCACAAGCGGUGGAUGAUGUGAUUAAUUUCGAUGCAACGCGAAAACCUUACCUACCCUUUGACAUGCCACUAACGAAGCAGAGAUGCAUUUAGGUGCUCGAA
rnacentral:rRNA from 1 species